rnacentral:rRNA from 1 species
AUUGAACGCUGGCGGCAGGCCUAACACAUGCAAGUCGAACGAGUGGCGGACGGGUGAGUAAUGUCUGGGAAAGUGCCUGAUGGAGGGGGAUAACUACUGGACACUGUAGCUAAUACCGCAUACUAUGAGAUGUGCCCAGAUGGGAUUAGCUUGUUGGUGGGGUAAAGGCUCACCAAGGCCACGAUCCGUAGCUGGUUUGAGAGGAUGACCAGCCACACUGGGACUGAGACACGGUCCAGACUCCGACGGGAGGCAGCAGUGGGGAAUAUUGGACAAUGGGCGAAACCCUGAUGCAGCCAUGCCGCGUGUAUGAAGAAGGCCUUCGGGUUGUAAAGUACUUUAAGCGGGGAGGCGUUACCAGCAGAAGAAGCACCGGCUAACUCCGUGCCAGCAGCCGCGGUAAUUC